GUUUUUAUUUUCAAUUUUUUUAUUUGAAGUGGUAUAAAUACAAAAUGUAAAGUACAAACAUUUAUGUUACAAAAUAAACUAUUGAUGAACACAAAGAAGCAUGACUAAAUUGCUUUUGGAAGUGGAUGGGUUUGAGUGCUGUUGAACAUCCCGAGCAUUGUUAAGAGGCAAGAUGAAACAACAAAAGAGAUCUUUCCCUGUGCCCUUUAGAGAUGAAUAUACAAACUUUGUUUCACAAACAGUAGUAUGCCACAUACCCACUGCAGGAAAGCCUCAGGCAGCUACUCCGCCCUGGUUCUCACCAUCAACCUCAGGUGGAAGUCAGAAUUCAACCUCACUACAGCACUUACAGAUGGUGCCAAUAUAGCCCAGAGCAUAGAAUAACCUCUGUCCCACCACUACAGGAAUGGGAAGCUGCUGGAAAAAUAUGACUGUACAUAGAUACAUCACUUAUAAAGCAAAACAUUUACAAGACUAAUCAUUCAUCUGUCAGAACCUUGUGGUAAAUCCUAAUUUCCUCAGGUUGCAUGACUAAAAGGAUCCCUGAAUCAGGAGUGAUAUAAACUGCUUCUGAGUCUUUAGAAACGUAAAGGACUGCUUAAGAUUUAUCAUCAUUAUCAACUAAUGUGUAUGGUCAAACUAAAAAUGACAUUUCAAAAUCAAGUGACACAUAUACAGUAUCUCUCAGUGGUCACAGAUUUACAAAAUAAACUAAAUCGUCAAAAAAAGUGGUUAAAACAAAGGUGAAUAAGAAUAAAGGUCUCAGAGUUUAAACUACUGUAAGUAUUGAGGAUUUAUCAGAGCCGUGAUGAGAAAACAGAGUUGUUUUUUAACAGAGUAUCCUCAAAAACAAAGGAAUUCUGAAAGAACUCAUUUAAAAGCGAAACAUUUGACAGGAAAUUAAUUCUUGGAACAAUGUAUCAUCAUUAGUAAUAAUUACACAGAGUGCAUAAAUUAGGGGAGGCGGGUCAAGUGUUUGCAUAUUGCCCAAACAAAAUAUUACAGCCACUCACUACAUCAAAAUGACAGAAGAAAUACUCAUUCGUGGAGGCAUACAAAAUGAUUCUUUCUAAUUUAUAAAAGCAAUGCACUGAUAACUUAAAUUAGCAAUUCAUAUAUUCCUCCCUUGUGCUGUUGUUCUAAAACCUCUAUGCCCUCCGUAAUUCUCUGAGAAUGGCUAAAAGUAACAUGAUUCUAAUGAUUCUAUUCCCCUGUACACUGAACAACAAUUCUCCCAUUACUGUACAUAAGGUCAAAACUGAAUUCUACUGAGAUUUAGAGACAAAUACUAAAAUGGUAGAGUUUAGAGAAAUACUAAAAUGGCAGAAUUUAGAGACAAAUACUAAAAUGUCAAAUACUAAAACGGCAGAAUUUAGAGACAAAUACCUUAAUGGAGGGCAGGAUUCAAGUAGAAAAGGCACUGGUCAGCCAACACCUGACCUGACGGAGUUUGACGCUCGAGGACGCCUCUAGCACCAGGUUAUUUUCGCAGCACCAUUUUGUCAAAGAAUUUGGCUUUUUUUUUACUCACUUUAUAAGCAUUCAUGAAACUGUAAUUACACUACGUAGCUGCUUUAUAAAGCAUUGUUCACAAGCUGGGAACCAACUUGACAAGUGGUGUUGCUUAUUCUACAUGUACUAGUCGCUACAUCAGCUGCUAUCAAUACAAAGCAUUGUACGAGCUACAAGGUAAUCUGGUAGUUAACAAAUGUGUAACAACUGUAUGCUAAAUCAGUACGCUGGUCCAGUCCACGUUGCUACUGGCUGAACCAGACAUAUGACUAAACAACGUGUUCCAGUCCAUGUUGCUACUGGCUGAACCAGACAUAUGACUAAACAACGUGUUCCA
ensembl:lncRNA